UGGGGAAUAUUGCACAAUGGGCGAAAGCCUGAUCCAGCAAUGCCGCGUGUGUGAAGAAGGCCUUCGGGUUGUAAAGCACUUUUGUCCGGAAAGAAAUCCUUGGCUCUAAUACAGUCGGGGGAUGACGGUACCGGAAGAAUAAGCACCGGCUAACUACGUGCCAGCAGCCGCGGUAAUACGUAGGGUGCAAGCGUUAAUCGGAAUUACUGGGCGUAAAGCGUGCGCAGGCGGUUUGCUAAGACCGAUGUGAAAUCCCCGGGCUCAACCUGGGAACUGCAUUGGUGACUGGCAGGCUAGAGUAUGGCAGAGGGGGGUAGAAUUCCACGUGUAGCAGUGAAAUGCGUAGAGAUGUGGAGGAAUACCGAUGGCGAAGGCAGCCCCCUGGGCCAAGUACUGACGCUCAUGCACGAAAGCGUGGGGGAGCAAACNGGAUUAAUACCCUGGUAGUCCACGCCCCUAAANGAUGUCAACUAGUUGUUGGGGAUUCAUUUUCCUUAGUAACGUAGCUAACGCGUGAAG
rnacentral:rRNA from 1 species